GAUGAACGCUGGCGGCGUGCCCAAUACAUGCAAGUCGAGCGAACGGACGAGAAGCUUGCUUCUCUGAUGUUAGCGGCGGACGGGUGAGUAACACGUGGAUAACCUACCUAUAAGACUGGGAUAACUUCGGGAAACCGUAGCUAAUACCGGAUAAUAUUUUGAACCGCAUGGUUCAAAAGUGAAAGACGGUCUUGCUGUCACUUAUAGAUGGAUCCGCGCUGCAUUAGCUAGUUGGUAAGGUAACGGCUUACCAAGGCAACGAUGCAUAGCCGACCUGAGAGGGUGAUCGGCCACAUUGGAACUGAGACACGGUCCAGACUCCUACGGGAGGCAGCAGUAGGGAAUCUUCCGCAAUGGGCGAAAGCCUGACGGAGCAACGCCGCGUGAGUGAUGAAGGUCUUCGGAUCGUAAAACUCUGUUAUUAGGGAAGAACAUAUGUGUAAGUAACUGUGCACAUCUUGACGGUACCUAAUCAGAAAGCCACGGCUAACUACGUG
rnacentral:rRNA from 1 species